rnacentral:rRNA from 1 species
UACAGAGGUCUCAAGCGUUGUUCGGAUUCAUUGGGCGUAAAGGGUGCGUAGGCGGCGCGGUAAGUCGGGUGUGAAAUCUCGGAGCUUAACUCCGAAACUGCAUUCGAUACUACUGUGCUUGAGGACUGGAGAGGAGACUGGAAUUUACGGUGUAGCGGUGAAAUGCGUAGAUAUCGUAAGGAAGACCAGUGGCGAAGGCGGGUCGCUGGGACGGUACUGACGCUGAGACGCGAAAGCGUGGGGAGCAAACAGG